rnacentral:tRNA from 1 species
GCCCCGUUCGUCUAGCGGCCUAGGACAUCGCCCUCUCACGGCGGUAACACCGGUUCAAAUCCGGUACGGGGUA